rnacentral:rRNA from 1 species
GAUGAACGCUAGCGGAGGCCUAACACAUGCAAGCCGAGCGGUAGAGAUUCUUCGGGAUCUUGAGAGCGGCGUACGGGUGCGGAACACGUGUGCAACCUACCUUUAUCUGGAGGAUAGCCUUUCGAAAGGAAGAUUAAUACUCCAUAAUAUAUUGACUGGCAUCAGUUGAUAUUGAAAGCUCCGGCGGAUAGAGAUGGGCACGCGCAAGAUUAGCUAGUUGGUGAGGUAACGGCUCACCAAGGCGAUGAUCUUUAGGGGGCCUGAGAGGGUGAUCCCCCACACUGGUACUGAGACACGGACCAGACUCCUACGGGAGGCAGCAGUGAGGAAUAUUGGUCAAUGGGUGCAAGCCUGAACCAGCCAUCCCGCGUGAAGGACGACUGCCCUAUGGGUUGUAAACUUCUUUUGUAUAGGAAUAAACCUACCCUCGUGAGGGUAGCUGAAGGUACUAUACGAAUAAGCACCGGCUAACUCCGUG